rnacentral:rRNA from 1 species
CUGGCGGCAGGCCUAACACAUGCAAGUCGAACGGUAACAGGAAGCAGCUUGCUGCUUGCUGACGAGUGGCGGACGGGUGAGUAAUGUCUGGGAAACUGCCUGAUGGAGGGGGAGUAACUAACUGGAAACGGUAGCUAGUACCGCAUAACGUCGCAAGACCAAAGAGGGGGACCUUCGGGCCUCUUGCCAUCAGAUGUGCCCAGAUGGGAUUAGCUUGUUGGUGGGGUAACGGCUCACCAAGGCGACGAUCCCUAGCUGGUCUGAGAGGAUGACCAGCCACACUGGAACUGAGACACGGUCCAGACUCCUACGGGAGGCAGCAGUGGGGAAUAUUGCACAAUGGGCGCAAGCCUGAUGCAGCCAUGCCGCGUGUAUGAAGAAGGCCUUCGGGUUGUAAAGUACUUUCAGCGGGGAGGAAGGUGUUGUGGUUAAUAACCACAGCAAUUGACGUUACCCGCAGAAGAAGCACCGGCUAACUCCGUGCCAGCAGCGGC